UGUGGGAGGGGGCUUGCCCCCGAUGGCAGUGUGUCAAUCAGUACGACUGUGACUGAUCUACCGCUAUCGGGGCAAGCCCCCUCCCACA
rnacentral:misc_RNA from 1 species